GAAUCCCCUGGGAUUGAACCCACAAACUUGCGUUGUUAACACAAUGCUCUUACCACUGAGCUACAGGAAAGCUUUAAAUUACUUACUUUCUCAUACAUUACUAUCUGGUCUUGUUUCUGUUCCAGGUAGUUCAGCAGAUAAUUUAGCAUUUAAAGGAACAGCGACACAAUCAUCCACAUGGAGUACCUGGACAGCUCCACAUGCCAUAGAUGGUGUCAGAAAUGGAGGAGACCCAGAGGUUGUUCCAUACUGCUCUGCUACAUCAUAUGAAAGUAACUCAUGGUGGAGACUGGAUCUUCAGGAUUAUUAUGA